CAUUACGAAGCUUAGAGCGUUAGCCUUUUAAGCUAAAGUUAGAGACGUUAAGUCUCCGUAAUGA
rnacentral:tRNA from 1 species